rnacentral:lncRNA from 1 species
AAUCCUAAUAAUGCUGAGCAAUAAUAGUAUAGAUAAACCUUUGGUCAUCCUUACACACAACAAAUCGAGACUUGCGGCUGUUUGUGGAAAACUAAGCAAAGAUUGUGAGAAGGCACUUGUCUGGACAGACAUUUUUUCUUUUGGUGGUGAAAGUUCUGUGGAGAUUACAGCAUUUCCUUUUUCGAACGGAAUUCAGAGCGUAAAGGGUUUGUGUUCAUAUAAGCAGAAGCACAGACAAACAGAAGUCAGGGUUGAGCAGAAGUCUGACAGUCUGCUUCAGACAGCACGCUGUAGGAAUGCAUUCCGACUUCCUCCCACCCACCACGUCUCUACAUGUUCAAUUUGGCGACCGUUGCUUAGUGACAGUGUGCCGCUGGCCCCCUGCUAUGUGGUUUUUGUGUCUUCACCGAGAUAA